UUGGAAGUAAAAGUCGUAACAAGGUUUCCGUAGGUGAACCUGCGGAGGAUCAUUACCGAGUGCGGGUCUUUAUGGCCCAACCUCCCACCCGUGACUAUUGUACCUUGUUGCUUCGGCGGGCCCGCCAGCGUUGCUGGCCGCCGGGGGGCGACUCGCCCCCGGGCCCGUGCCCGCCGGAGACCCCAACAUGAACCCUGUUCUGAAAGCUUGCAGUCUGAGUGUGAUUCUUUGCAAUCAGUUAAAACUUUCAACAAUGGAUCUCUUGGUUCCGGCAUCGAUGAAGAACGCAGCGAAAUGCGAUAACUAAUGUGAAUUGCAGAAUUCAGUGAAUCAUCGAGUCUUUGAACGCACAUUGCGCCCCCUGGUAUUCCGGGGGGCAUGCCUGUCCGAGCGUCAUUGCUGCCCUCAAGCCCGGCUUUGUGUGUUGGGCCCUCGUCCCCCGGCUCCCGGGGGACGGGCCCGAAAGGCAGCGGCGGCACCGCGUCCGGUCCUCGAGCGUAUGGGGCUUCGUCUUCCGCUCCGUAGGCCCGGCCGGCGCCCGCCGACGCAUUUAUUUGCAACUUGUUUUUUUCCAGGUUGACCUCGGAUCAGGUAGGGAUACCCGCUGAACUUAAGCAUAUCAAUAAGCGGAGGAAAAGAAACCAACCGGGAUUGCCUCAGUAACGGCGAGUGAAGCGGCAAGAGCUCAAAUUUGAAAGCUGGCUCCUUCGGGGUCCGCAUUGUAAUUUGCAGAGGAUGCUUCGGGUGCAGCCCCCGUCUAAGUGCCCUGGAACGGGCCGUCAUAGAGGGUGAGAAUCCCGUAUGGGGGCGGGGUGUCUGCGUCCGUGUGAAGCUCCUUCGACGAGUCGAGUUGUUUGGGAAUGCAGCUCUAAAUGGGUGGUAAAUUUCAUCUAAAGCUAAAUACUGGCCGGAGACCGAUAGCGCACAAGUAGAGUGAUCGAAAGAUGAAAAGCACUUUGAAAAGAGAGUUAAACAGCACGUGAAAUUGUUGAAAGGGAAGCGCUUGCAACCAGACUCGCUCGCGGGGUUCAGCCGGGCUUCGGCCCGGUGUACUUCCCCGCGGGCGGGCCAGCGUCGGUUUGGGCGGCCGGUCAAAGGCCUCCGGAAUGUAGCGCCCUUCGGGGCGCCUUAUAGCCGGGGGUGCAAUGCGGCCAGCCUGGACCGAGGAACGCGCUUCGGCACGGACGCUGGCAUAAUGGUUGUAAACGACCCGUCUUGAAACACGGACC
rnacentral:rRNA from 1 species